rnacentral:misc_RNA from 1 species
GCUCCGUAGGUGAACCUGCGGAAGGAUCAUUCAUAAUAAAGUGUUUUAUGGCACUUUUUAAAAAUCCAUAUCCACCUUGUGUGCAAUGUUAGAUCUCGUCAAUCUUGGCGAGAUUUUUAUACAUCAACUCAUUCUUUAACUAAUUUGUCUGAAAAAUAUUAUGAAUACUUAAUUCAAGAUACAACUUUCAACAACGGAUCUCUUGGCUCUC